UACGAAGGGGGCUAGCGUUGCUCGAAAUGACUGGGCGUAAAGGGCGCGUAGGCGGCGGUCACAGUCAGAUGUGAAAUUCCUGGGCUUAACCUGGGGGCUGCAUUUGAUACGUGGUUGCUUGAGUGGGGAAGAGGGUCGUGGAAUUCCCAGUGUAGAGGUGAAAUUCGUAGAUAUUGGGAAGAACACCGGUGGCGAAGGCGGCGACCUGGUCCUUGACUGACGCUGAGGCGCAAAAGCGUGGGGAGCAAACAGG
rnacentral:rRNA from 1 species